GAGUUUGUUGAGCUUGAAAUACCAUACAAUGGUCAACAGAAACGUACUGGUUCUCCGUCGCCCUUGGCUAGUCCUGCCCAUUCAACAAACAGCGCCGUCGGAUUAAUGCAAUCAUGUUGCGGUCGUUGCUGUCCACAACGCUACCAGGCUUGUGGAAAGUAUAUGCCGGCCUCGGACAAUGCUCAAAUUAAUCAAAACAAUCAGCCAAUGGACGGAACGUACCUGGUGGAAGCUUCCUUUUAAGCGUAACAUGCUUAUAUAUAUUUAUAAAAUGUAUUUAUUAAAUGAUAAAGUAUUAAACAUUA